rnacentral:lncRNA from 1 species
GACCUUUUUAUACUGGGCGACGUCCGAGCCAGUUUCCUGUUUAAUCUUCGUAAGUUCAUGCAAUUGUAGUUUUGCUACUGGGCGGAUGAUGUCCUCGGGGACAAAAUGUCCACCAGCAGAGACAUCGACCCAGUGGUAAUAAAAGAGGGACGAAAGAUACCAAAGGGACAGUCAAACUCAUAAAUCUAAAACAAACUGACAACGCCAUGGCCAAAAAUGAAAAAGACAAACAGAAAAACAAUAGUACACAUGACACAACAUAGAAAACUAAAGAAUAAACAACACGAACCCCUCCAAAAACUAGGGGUGAUCUCCGGAAGGGUAAGCAGAUCCUGCUCCACAUGUGGCACCCGUCGUGUUGCUUAUGCGAUUACAAAUCCGGU